UUCCUUUAUAUAUGGUUUGGUAUCUGUUUAGAUUGGACGGGAAUUCUCUGAUACAUUUUCACCGGCAGACACAGGUCGAACCCAGAAAAGGGAUUUUGACGAAGGAAAAAUCUAUUUCUGGGGGAGGACCUGUGUCGCCCAGUGAACCCAGCCCCCUUUUUCCUCCUCUCCUUCUCUGUUUUUCCCACCCUUAACCAGUCCAAGCUUGGUGUCUAUUCCAGGAAUGGAGGACGCGCGUGGGUAUUAGUAGUAGUAGUAGUAGCGAGAGGGUGACGCAUGUAACGGCUCCCACCGUAGAGAGAAUUUGAGAAGGAAUCUUCUAAUUGGCAGAGGAGUUGUGGCUUCCACUUCGCCCCUACUAUACUAUACCGACGCCCCCCUGGGGUGCUCGCGCUGAGGGUAGUAACUUCAGCAUACCAAUGCUAACUUUUUCUCUGGUAUAUUUAGGAUCUAUUUAUACUUAGAAAAAUGAGCUACAGGGAUUUUUCACCGGGCGACACAGGUCCUCCCCCAGAAAUACAUUUUUCCUUCGUCAAAAUCCCUUUUUAAAAUGUUCUCCUGGUGUAGUUGUAGUAUCUUUGGAUUGAUUGUAAUUUUCAAUAUUCAUUUUUUUCCCUUAGGUGGGGUUCAUUCUAGUAUUCUUUUCUUUUUGUCCGUUUGAUUAUUAUUAUUUGACUCCUCUUCCACUGUAAGUUCUUUUCCAUGGAUAUCUGAUUCUUCUAUGUUAUUAGUGGUACUGGUGGAUAUAUCAACAUGCUUGUUUUGGGGUUCAGCAUUAUUGAUAUGAGAAUUAGUUUCGUACCUUUAUAUUGUCUUGUUGUUUGUUAUUGAUGUGAUCGAUAUUUAGAUUUUUCGUUACAUUUGUGUACAAAACAUUUCAUAUUUUCACAUGGCGACAGGAAAGACUAGUGAUUAUUAAGACUUUGGUAUUUUAAUUGCCCUACUCUUGGUACCAUCAAACUGUCUUUCCUGCUGCCCAAUAUUUAAAGAUGGGUAGUUUGCUAACUCCUCCUCCUUCCAUAUGCUUUGGUUGAGUGAAAACGGUGACGAGGAGCGAGGCAGCCCGGCAGUCGGGAAGAGCAGGGACCUCACUCACCUGGGAAGGUUCAUACCAUUUUGAUUCGUCCAAUAUGCCUGUCUUAGGCUAAAGGCUUAUAUUGGGAUCCCUGGUCUACGUCACCCUCUUGUGAACAUUUGCCAAAAUCCAUCUGCAACACCUUUGUGCAUGGUACGACAAUGACAGCGAGCGAAGCUGAACGAAGGAAACAUCCUACGAUCUACAUGAAUUGCCUUGUUCUCCCGUAAAUUGUUUGUAACUACGUUAUUUUAAAGGCUUAUUUAUGUAAUAAAUAUCACAUUUAA